CCUCUCACUAGAGCUCUGCCAAAGCUGACACAACACACAUUGCACCCACACACGGUAGGUUCUACUUUCACGUCUUUACAUCACGUAGGGCCAGUGUGUAGGUUAGUUCUAGCUUUUCUUUUAGGUUAUGUUGAGGUCCGAGGUCAGCUAUCAACAUACCCUAGACAAAGUAGCUUUAGUUUAGGUCAUGUUGAGGUCCGAAAACUCUUUGCUCAUGUUAGAUUUUUGAUGAUGCUAAUUAUGUAUAUAUUUGAUAAUAAGUGUGUAUAUAUUGUGUAGAUAUCUUUGAGGAGUUGGUCUAUUUAAUUGUCUAUUAAUUAUAUUUAACUGUUUAUGGGAAUAUUGGAUAUUGGCAUUUCCCUAGUGUGUGUGUGUGUGUGUGUGUGUGUGUGUGUGUGUUUCUAGCAGGCCAGUAUGGAAGUGUGGUGUGUGUGUGUGUUUCUAGCAGGCUAGUAUGGUUCUGCUCCUUUCCAGCAGAGGGUUGAGGGGAGAGAGGGGGUGCGGGCGGUCGAAUCCCAGUAGCUGUUGUGUGGACGACUCCCAGUCGCGGCCGAACUCCAGCCGGCUGCACACGCACGGGUACUGCCUGUCUGCCCAGCGUACCCAGUCCACCGCCCGCUUCAGGGCCUCCCACUCGGAAGAGCUGCGGUCAACACACAAAAAUAACAAGCACAGAAACGCACACAGAAAACGUUGGCAAAGAAGUUCAGAUCCACACCCAGGAGCAAUCCCACUUCCUCUGUGCAUUCCCAGUAACCCCCUGUAUACUGUCUGUUCUAUGACUAGCAGAAGAAGUCUGAAGAGCAGAUAUCUUACUGGGCUCUGAAGACAUGCCAACUGUUCCCAUGAUGCACUGGGUUUGAUCUCAAUAUGUGAUCUCACAUCGUGCAAAGAAUAAUCGAUGACAGCAUACCUUCUCAGCAAGCAGCGUUUCUGGACUCCGGGAUACCGGGACCAGGGGGAUGGGAGAAGACACAGGCGCAGGAGAAGACAAAGGGGCACGGCCAAACAUUUGAACUGAGCCUUGACGAGUAGGAGAAGGAACAGAGACAGGGGGAUGGGAGAAGACAUAGGGGUUGGGGCAAAGGUUGGAGUCCCAGACACAGUGAAGCCAGCUGAGCCUUGAACAGCAGUGGUGAAGGCCCCAGGAGAGCGGGAGGAGCAGGACCGGAGCUCAUGCUCUAGUACGAGAGCGUCGAGAGGAAGAGAGACAGGUGAGACCAUCUAAGACAGGAGGAGGAGGAGGAGGACGGGGACAACUUUCAAUUUCGUUCAAGUUCUGGAAAAAAACAAUGCAGAUUUAAAUUUCUAGAAGGACUGUUUUGUAUACUGACUACUCAAUGAACUGAAAAAAUCAUACGGAAUAUGGGCAGCAGAUCAUUUGUACAACAGUUUACAGUAUUAUCCCCUGGAUGCUAACUCUAAACACACUGAUACAGUUUACAGUAUUAUCCCCUGGAUGCUAACUCUAAACACACUGAUACAGUUUACAGUAUUAUCCCCUGGAUCCUAACUCUAAACACACUGAUACAGUUUACAGUAUUAACCCCUGGAUGCUAACUCUAAACACACUCAUACAGUUUGACUUCAGGUAAAGUAGGCUACUUGUAAAUUAGACUGAAUGGAUUUUAAUUGAAUGUUAUAGAUAAUCUGAGUUUUAGGCUGAUCUAGACAUUCUGUAAUCUAGACAAAUUUGAUUCUUGUAACCAAUUAUACUGGACACAAUGUUGAUUAACUUAUUAAACACUUACUGCUUGUCACCUGAGGAAAUGCCAAACUGAAAUGCACACCUAAAAAUC